rnacentral:rRNA from 1 species
AGAGUUUGAUCAUGGCUCAGAUUGAACGCUGGCGGCAUGCUUUACACAUGCAAGUCGAACGGCAGCAUGGGUGCUUGCACCUGAUGGCGAGUGGCGAACGGGUGAGUAACAUAUCGGAACAUGUCCCGGAAGUGGGGGAUAACGUAGCGAAAGUUACGCUAAUACCGCAUAUGCCCUGAGGGGGAAAGGUGGGGAUCGCAAGACCUAUCGCUUUCGGAGUGGCCGAUAUCAGAUUAGCUAGUUGGUGGGGUAAAGGCCUACCAAGGCGACGAUCUGUAGCUGGUCUGAGAGGACGACCAGCCACACUGGGACUGAGACACGGCCCAGACUCCUACGGGAGGCAGCAGUGGGGAAUUUUGGACAAUGGGCGCAAGCCUGAUCCAGCCAUGCCGCGUGAGUGAAGAAGGCCUUCGGGUUGUAAAGCUCUUUCAGACGGAAAGAAAUUGCCAUUUCUAAUACAAGUGGUAGAUGACGGUACCGUCAGAAGAAGCACCGGCUAACUACGUGCCAGCAGCCGCGGUAAUACGUAGGGUGCGAGCGUUAAUCGGAAUUACUGGGCGUAAAGCGUGCGCAGGCGGUUUUGUAAGACAGAUGUGAAAUCCCCGGGCUUAACCUGGGAACUGCAUUUGUGACUGCAAGGCUAGAGUAUGGCAGAGGGGGGUAGAAUUCCCGUGUAGCAGUGAAAUGCGUAGAGAUGUGGAGGAAUACCGAUGGCGAAGGCAGCCCCCUGGGUCAAUACUGACGCUCAUGCACGAAAGCGUGGGGAGCAAACAGGAUUAGAUACCCUAGUAGUCC